rnacentral:lncRNA from 1 species
UGCCUGGUGAUGUUCUAUGAUGCAAACCAGGAGGGAAUUUCAGUCAUAUUUCUAUCUAUUCUAUAGAUCAUCCUUAGAUGAGAUCAUCUAGAUAGAAAAUGCCCUAAGACACUCUUGAUUGCCUAGCUCACAGCCAUUUCCACCUUCUUCCCAGAACAGAACCUUGAUUUUGUUUGUUGUGCAACAGCUCCAGAGAAUGAAUCAUGUUUGAUGCAACUGUGUUUCUCAGCCGUGGCUGCACCUAAGCUGCAUGAGAGAAUUUUACAAAUAUUGAUGCCAGGACACCACCCCAGAGCAGUUAAAUCAGAAUCGCUGCGAGCUGGCUACCAGCCAGAAGAACCUAGAAAGACAGAGGGUUUCUGCCUCCUCCACAGAGGCAACAGAGGGCAGAAUGGAAAAGUGCCUCAGGAGAAGAACAGACCAAGUACUGUGGAAGUAAAGAGAAGGAUAAACAUUUCUUCUGAAAGGAAGAAUGGGGUAUAACCUAAUGAGAGAGAAACAAUUUUUGUAAUUGGAGCAGUCAGAAGAGAAUUCCUCCCUUUCUGGUGAGGAUAUGAGUCCAAUGGCUGCCAACAGCUAUUUCCCAGUCAACAUUGGGAGUGAUGCGGGGAUCAACAAUCAGGAGAAACAAAGCAAGUGGCAGGGAGAGAGGAAGAAAAGGGAAGAGAAAAGGAUGGAGAGAGAUCCUGACGACAUUGGAGUCCUGGUUCUGGACACCUCUGAUGCCAGUCAUAC